UACAUUUCCUUCUGUAUGCACACGGGUGGAUACAAGAAAAAUGAAGAUAAUAUUAGGUUUAUUAAUAUGUCUUCUGGACUUAUCAGGUGUCCAGUCUGCAGAACAACUUACCCAAUCAGAGCCAGCGGUGAUAAAGCCGGGGAACUCUCACACUAUGACCUGUACAGGUUCUGGAUUUAACUUUGCUGACUAUGACAUGAACUGGGUCAGACAGUUUUCUAGUGGAGAGUUACAGUGGGUCUCAUAUAUAAGCAGUCCCUCUGGGAGCACUAAAGAGUAUCAUAAUUCUGUUAAAGGAAGAUUUACAAUCUCCAGAGAUAACAGUAACAGUCUGACAACUCUAAAAAUGGACAACAUGAAAACCGAAGACACAGCCGUGUAUUACUGUGCAAGAAGAGGCACACUGAUAAAAAUGUAUAGCCCUACUGAACAAAAACUGUUCACUCCUUCCUCAUUGUACCUGUAG